rnacentral:rRNA from 1 species
CUUUAUUGGAGAGUUUGAUCCUGGCUCAGGAUGAACGCUGGCGGCGUGCCUAAUACAUGCAAGUCGAGCGAAUGGAUUAAGAGCUUGCUCUUAUGAAGUUAGCGGCGGACGGGUGAGUAACACGUGGGUAACCUGCCCAUAAGACUGGGAUAACUCCGGGAAACCGGGGCUAAUACCGGAUAACAUUUUGAACCG